AGCUGAAACUUAAAGGAAUUGACGGAAGCGCACACAAGAAAUGGGGCCUGCGGCUUAAUUUGACUCAACACGGUGCAACUCACCCGGCCCGGACACAGGAAGGAUUGACAGAUUAAGAGCUCUUUCUUGAUUCUGUGACAGGUGGUGCAUGGCCGUUUCUAGUUGGUGGAGUGAUUUGUCUGCUUUAUUGCGAUAACGAGCGAGACUCUAGCCUACUAAAUAGGAACGAAGGUCUUUUUGCCUUCUUCUCUUCUUAGAGGGACAAGCGGUGUUCAGCCGCACGAAACUGAGCAAAAACAGGUCAGGAUGCCCUUAGAUGUUCGGGGCCGCACGCGCGCCACAUUGAAGGAAUCGGCGUGUGCUUUCCCUCUCCGAUAGGAGUGGGUAACCCGUUGAAACUCCUUCGUGCUAGGGAUAGGAAAUUGUAAUUGUUUUCCUUGAACGAGGAAUUCCCAGUAAGCAUCGAGUCAUCAGCUCGUGUUGAUUACGUCCCUGCGCUUUGUGCACACCGCCCGUCGCUAUUAUCGAUGAAUUUUGGAGUGAGAUCAUCGGACUGGCUAAGGUGUUGGGGUUUUACUCUGACGCCUGUGUUGGAAAGAUGACCGAACUUGAAUAUUAGAG
rnacentral:rRNA from 1 species